rnacentral:lncRNA from 1 species
GGAAUUUCUAAUCGGUAGAAGAAUUUGCAUUAUUUGGAUAAAGCCAGGAGUCCUCCAGCAAUUUCAACAAGUGUAUAGAAAAGGUAAAUGACAAGAAACCUAACUGUAAUUUCCCCCUGAACAAGAAAAAGAUGUUAAUCUACUGUUUCCUGGCUACCCCUGUUUUGCAUAAGAAGUUGGCUAAGAUGGGGGACUCAAGAUGGCGUGGUGAGAACAACCCAGGAUUGAAGCUCUUGAUGAACGUGCGGAGGUACAAGAUGAGCUUUCUUGGCACAAUGUGGAAGCUCCUUUUGGACUUAUCGAAAAGAUGAUGGCUUCUCCAAUACACGAGCAGGUCAAAUUAUGAUGGAUGCAGAUAUUUUUGUUCUGUGCCUCUCUUCCAGUCUACUGCAUGAAUUAUCCCGUGGCAUUGCUAUGGUUUGAAUACUUGUGUCCCCCUGAAUUUAAUAUGUUGAAAUCCUAAGCCCCAAGGUGAUAGUAUUAGGAGGGGGGACUUUUGGAGCUGUUUCGGUUAUGAAGGGGGAGCCCUCAUGAAUGAGAUUCUUGUCCUUAUGAAAGAGACCCCAGAGAGAUCCUUUGCCUUUUACUACGUGAGAUUACAGUGAAGAUGACCCUCUAUGAGAAACAGGCCUUCACCAGACACUGAAUCUGCCAGCACCUUGGACUUUGCAUCCUUCAAAGCUGU